rnacentral:rRNA from 1 species
CCCUUAGAUGUUCUGGGCUGCACGCGCGCUACACUGAUGCGCUCAACGAGUUUACGACCUUGCCCGGAAGGGUUGGGUAAUCUUUUUAAAACGCAUCGUGAUGGGGAUAGAUUAUUGCAAUUAUUAAUCUUUAACGAGGAAUUCCUAGUAAGCGCGAGUCAUCAGCUCGUGCUGAUUACGUCCCUGCCCUUUGUACACACCGCCCGUCGCUCCUACCGAUUGAACGUUCCGGUGAGACCUUGGGAUUUGGUCUUUGGUACUUUAUUGUGCCGUUGACCGAAAAACUUGAGCAAACCUUAACGUUUAGAGGAAGGUGAAGUCGUAACA